GUCCUGAGUUGUUAUCGCAAGUCCAGGAAGAAUGAGGUUACUCAGGCAACUGGAGGGUGAGGAUGGAGAAGAGCUUUAUUGAGCAACAGAACAGCUCUCAGCAGAGAGGAGACCCAAAGUGGGUAGCUCCUACCUGCAGGAAGGUUUCUGAAGGGGGCCAAGAUGGCCCAAUAGGAACAGCUCCAGUCUGCAGCUCCCAGAAAGACCAACACAGAAGGCAGGCUGAAGGUGACAUUACACUUAGAG